rnacentral:rRNA from 1 species
CGCACAGUAAACGAUGAAUACUAACUGUUUGCGAUAUAAUGUAAGUGGUAAAGCGAAAGCGUUAAGUAUUCCACCUGGGGAGUACGCCGGCAACGGUGAAACUCAAAGGAAUUGACGGGGGCCCGCACAAGCGGAGGAACAUGUGGUUUAAUUCGAUGAUACGCGAGGAACCUUACCCGGGCUUGAAUUGCAGACGAAUGUGCGUGAAAGCGUGCAGCCAGCAAUGGCGUCUGUGAAGGUGC